UACAGAGGUCUCAAGCGUUGUUCGGAUUCAUUGGGCGUAAAGGGUGCGUAGGCGGCGCGGUAAGUCGGGUGUGAAAUCUUGGAGCUUAACUCCGAAACUGCAUUCGAUACUGCCGUGCUUGAGGACUGGAGAGGAGACUGGAAUUUACGGUGUAGCGGUGAAAUGCGUAGAUAUCGUAAGGAAGACCAGUGGCGAAGGCGGGUCUCUGGACAGUUCCUGACGUGAGCACGAAGGCCAGGGGAGCAAACGGG
rnacentral:rRNA from 1 species